AGCAGCCGCGGUAAUUCCAGCUCCAAUAGCGUAUAUUAAAGUUGUUGCAGUUAAAAAGCUCGUAGUUGAAUUUCGGAAUCUGUCCAUCGGUCGGGCUUCACUGUCCGUACUGGUGUGGUGGGUUCUUACCUUCUAAAUAACCAGCAUGCCAUUAAUUUGGUGCGUUGGGGAAGCAGGACUAUUACCUUGAAAAAAUUAGAGUGCUCAAAGCAGGCCAGUGCCUGAAUACAUUAGCAUGGAAUAAUAAAAUAGGACGGCAUGGUUCUAUUUUGUUGGUUUCUAGGAUCACCGUAAUGAUUAAUAGGGAUAGCUGGGGGCAUUAGUAUUCAAUUGUCAGAGGUGAAAUUCUUGGAUUUAUUGAAGACUAACUUCUGCAAAAGCAUUUGCCAAGGAUGUUUUCAUUAAUCAAGAACGAAAGUUAGGGGAUCGAAGACGAUCAGAUACCGUCGUAGUCUUAACCAUAAACUAUGCCGACUAGGGAUCGGACGAUGUAAUUUUUAAUGACUCGUUCGGCGCCUUA
rnacentral:rRNA from 1 species